AAAAUGACGAUCACGAACGGAAAGAGGAGGGGCACCCCGUACAUGUUCUCCAGGCCCUUCAGAAGACAUGGAGUUGUUCCUUUGCCACAUACAUGGGAAUCUACAAGAAAGGUGAUAUUGUAAACAUCAAGGAAAUGGGCACUCUUCAGAAAGGCAUGUCCCACAAAUGUUACCAUAGCAAGACAGGAAGAGUUUACAAUGUCACCCAAUGUUGCGUGGGAUUACAGGCUGAGCCACCGAGCCUGGCUGGCAUUGUUGUUAACAAACAAGUCAAGGGCAAGAUUCUUGCCAAGCAAAUUAAUGUGCGUAUUGAGCAUAUUAAGCACUCGAAGAGUUGAGAUAGCUUCCUGAAACACGUGAAGGAAAAUAACCAGAAAAAGAAGGAAGCCAAGGAGAAAGGCACCUGGGUUCAGCUGAAGCGCCAGCCUGCUCCACCCAGAGAAGCACACUUUGUGAGAACCAACGAGAAGGAACCUGAGCUGCUGGAACCUAUUCCCUAUGAAUUCAUGGUUUAAUAGGUGUCAAAAAUAAAAGAUCUCAGCUGGGCU